AUGCACACACUCAUGUGUAUGCACUGCUGUGCAAGCAAGCAUCCAGUGCAUGCGCACACACACACACGUGCACGCAUGCACACACACNNNNNNNNNNACACGUGCACAUGUUCCUGUGCACGCACACACACUCGGUGCAAGCAAGCAUCUGGUGCAUGCACACUUGUCCACACAUGCACGCGUUCCUGUGCAUGCAUUUGCACACCCAUGCACACUCCCGUGCAUGCACAGCGCCGUUGCACACUCGCUCCUUGCAGCCUCUGCACCUUGCUGCGGCCCCUCGCUCCGUGCCCGCCGGCCGUGCCCGGCCCCCCCGUGCCCCCCAGGCGCGCCGAGCCUUUGUCUUUCUGCCUGGCUGCCCCCUUUGAGGGGCCGAGGGCCCUGAAAGGCGCCGAGGUUCUCACACAAACGGCGGCGGCCUCGGGGCAGGGCAGGUGGGGGGGAGAUGGAGACCCCGGCCCCAAGGCGCUGGAGGGGGCUCGGGGCUCCUGGGGGCACCGGGGUCCUGCAGGUGUGAUUGCUUUGGGGGGCUCAGGGGGACUGUGGGGACCCCUAAAGCAGGGUCCUGCCAGGAUCAGCCCUCGGAGAGCCGUGGGACGGCGCCUUGGGGUCGGCACCGAGGGCUGUGGGGCAGCAGAGGGGUCCCCAGGGGGGUCUGGGGGGUUCCAAUGGGGAAUCUGCGGGGGGAGCAACGGGAUUUUUGUGGGACAGCAGGAGAGUUCCCAUGGGGCAGCAGCGGGGAGGCAAUGGGGUUCCAGGGGGGUGGCUGUGGGCUUCCCGUGGGGAAACAAACGGGGUUCAUAUGGGGGAAAAGUGGGGCUCCAGGGGCUCCCCACAGGGCAGCAAGAAGCCCCCAAACCCCCACCCCAGCCCCCUGGUGCACGAAGGGGCAGCGGGGUGGCCCCAUGGGGACCCUGGCCCCGCGCCCCCCCCCCAGCCCAGCUCGUUUGCCAUAAGGCAAUAAAGCACUUCAUUUAUCCGCUUCUCUAUUUUCUCCCUCUCCCUGCCCGACGCUGGUUUAUAUUUUAUUGGCAUCUUUGCUGCGCUGAAAGUAAUGUAAUUACGAGGGGAAUUUAUAUGUUGUUUCGUAAGUCGGGAGUUCAUUUUUUUUGUAUUAUUAUUAUUAGGUGGGGAAUAUUUAAGGCUCCUCAGGAACGAAAAAUAGAACCCAAUUCCACCGCGUCAUCUCCCCCGGUAUUUAUGCCUCUUCCCAACGAGGUUUCAAUUGAAAAUUGCUCCGUAUGUUCCCAGCGCCGCCUUAUUUUCUCCCCGUGUCUCAUCACGAGCCGGUGCCUCCUCUCCUCUUCAUCCCUCCGGGUCCUCUGCCAUCGCUCGUGGCAUUUUGGGGCCGUCACAGCCGUCCCCAAAUCCUUGCCGUGCGCAUCCCUUAUCAAGGCGCCUUCCCCGUGCCUCAGUUUCCCCAAAAAAGGUGCCUUGCAGGGAGGGGGCAGCAGGGUGGUGGGGUGGUGUGUGUCCCCCCCCCAAGGCUCUCCUCCUGCCGUCCCCAGCAGCGCAGGCGUCCCCGCCGCGGUGACACUGAUGGGCUGUGACACGGCGGGAGGUGCUGGCCGCCCGCGCGGCGGCGAGGCGCCCGUCUCCUGCCCGGGAGGUAAUCGAGGUGGAAUAUUUGAUCGGCCGGGAAAUGAGCUGCUAAAUUUGUUGUGAGAUUGGUGUCACAAGCAAUCGCCGCGGCGCUCCUCGGCCGGCGGGGGGGGGGGACGGCAGCGGCGGGGAGCGAGGGGACCCCGCGGGUUGGGGACACCAACGAGGGGGGGCUGGAGGAGCCGGUGGCGCUCCAGCUGCUUCGGUGGCACGGGGGGCACGGAGAUGUCCCCGGUGCAGAUGUCCCCGAUGUGGAGAUGUCCCCGAUGCGGAGACGGCCCCGAUGCGCACCCCACGUGCCGCUGCCCCCCCGGGGACGCCACGCCUGGUGGCACGGCCAAGGUCACCGUGGCCAGGGCGCGGGGAGGACGGCGGGGACCCGGCGUGCCCGAAGGCGGCGGGGAGGAGGGGAACCCAUCUCCUCCUCAUUUGUUUUUAUAAUUCUGCCUUUUAAAAAAUGAAAAUAACUGGAGCAUCCCUUCCCCGGAGAGCUUUGCUACCACCAGCUUCGGCAGCGGGAAGCGGAGCGGGGAGGUGGGGAGGGGGAGAGGCAACGGAGAGGCCCCCGCCAGCCCCGUGCCAGCCCCGCGGGGACGCUGGGGACACCCCGGGGCCACUCCCCGAGAUGGCGGCGAGGGGCAGGGCUGGAUGCGGCCCCGGCCCCGCCGUCGGCCGCCCUGGUGCCUCCCAGCCUGGCGCUGGGCGCGUGCCAGCGAUGCGCUGGCGUCAUAUGAUGGUGGUGAAAUACUUUCCGUUCCUGCUGGGACGGGAGGGCCGGGAGCGGAGCCGGGGUCCUGGCUCUGGAGGCGGCCACUGGGGGGGGAAAAUGGGGACAGGGGUGGGGACGGGGACAGGGAUGGGGAUGGGGACAGGGAUGGGAAUGGGGACAAGGGACAGGGAUAGGGACAGGGACAGGGAUGGGGACGGGAACAUUGAUGGGGACACGGACAGGGGUGGGGAUGCUGGCGUAGGGGGUGCAGGAGCUGCUGCGGGAUUCAAUUACCGAGGAAUUAAAGGAUGGUAAUAUUCAAUUAACGUCAAUCAGAGCGGGAUUAGAGGCAGGAGAUGUUGUCGGAUGGGUGGGACGCAGAUUGGAUGGGGUUGAGCUUGGGGCUGAUGAAGGAGCGGGGCGCACAGAUUGGGGCUGUGGCCCCAAAUGGUGCCGUUGGCAUUGGGAUGGGCACCCCAGCAUCCUCACCCCGUACCCCAGCCUCCUGGCACUGCGUUCCAAUCAGCGUUCCCGUCCCUGUUGCCCACCCCUCCGGCCACGGUAGCGUUAAAAAAGCGAAGGGGAAAGGAGAAGAAAAUAGAAGAGGGCAUUGAGUGACUUCAAACAAGGAGCGGAAGCGGCUCCUCCUGCCAAGACGCUUUCCGAGCGCGCGGCUCGCGCUGUUCCCGGGCAGCGCCGUCUUGCUGGGGUAAUCGCAGCGAAGCAGCCUCAUAAAUUGUUGAUGGCAACGGGGACCCUCUCUAGCAAAUAUCAAUUUGCUGGCUGCGAGCUGCGGGCGAGCGUGCUGCCGGGCUGGGCUGCCACCCGGGUCCCCGUCCCCGCUGCUGUCACCCGCCCGUGUGGCACGGGGACAUGGGGACGCUGCUGGAGCAGGGUGGGGGCAUCCCAAGCCGCAGGGUCCCCUCUGCCCCAAGCUUCAUCCCAGCUCCCGUCCCUGCUCCCCGUGGUCCUGGGGUGGGUUUGGGGCUGUGGCUGCCACCCUGGGUUGGGGACACGCGCGUGGGGCUCCGUCCUUGAGGCCACCACCAGCCACCCGUGUCCCUGCCCCGAGCCGCGGCCGGCUUGAGCAGAAAGCCCCAAAUUGCCGGAGCCUAAAAUAGCUGCUGCUCCUCGGCAGAUGGGGCGGGAGGACGGCGAAGUGCCAGGCUCGAUCACGUCUCCGCUCCGCCGCGUCCCCCGCCAGCCGCGGCACCCGCCCGCUGCACGGGCACGAUGGCACCCGCGGGCUGCGCAUGUCCCCCCCUCCAUCUCCCAAUUUUGGGGACGCGGUGACACCGCCGGCAGUCCCGUGCCUCGGUUUCCCCACGCUGGCGGUGCCCGAGGUCCAUGCGUGGCACCGUCCGGGGGAUUUUGGGGCCGGCCGCAACGCUUGCGCUUUUUUCCAUCCCAUUGCCUCGUGCUGGGUGACAAGUGGCUCGGGGCGCCGGCACCGGGGCGGUGACAGCGCGGUGACAGCGUGGGGACAGAGGGGACAUGGACGGCAGCGUGGAUGCAGCCAGCAGCGUGUCCUGGGGAUGGGGACAGGGCAAUGGGGACAGGGACGGGGACAAAGCAAUGGGGACAGGGACGGGGACAGCGAUGGCCCCGGCUGCAGCAGCCACCCGCGGCCCCGUCCUCCCUCCCGUCUCUCCCUUUCCGCUCUGCCGGGCAGGGCCACAAGGAAGCCAAAUCCUCUUUUCUCUCCCACAGAAUAAAACCAGUGGAGGGUGGGAUUUUUUUUUAUAUAUAUAUAUUUUUUUUCCUCCCCGUGUAUUUUUAUUUUUUCCCCCCCCCCAAUAUAAAUAGAAGCGACCAGCUUGGGAAGAGGAAAGGGGAAAGGCUUAAAUUUAAAAGCGGUGAGAAGAGGAAGGGGAGGAGGGAAGAGAGAUAAAAUAAUUAAAAAAAAAAAAAAACUCGAGCGCGGAGAGAUUUAGCUCCAUCUGAAAGCUGUCAGCGCGAAUAAAAAGCUUUUCUUUGAACCCUGAGUUUAAUAGCGAGAGGAGAGAGAGGGAGAUUGGAGCACCAGCCCCAGGGCUUAAUCAGACCUUCAUUUGAUAAAUAGAGGGAGACAGGGCCGGGCGUGUGGCUGGGGCCCCGCCGGGUCCCCCCCGCGUGCCCGGGCACCCACGGGUGGGCACAGGCUGGGGGCGCACCCCCGGCACCCCACGGCCGUGCCCUGGGGAUCUGUGGGCUCCUUGGCACAACGUCAAGGACCCGCCGCGGCGAGGGACGCGCGGUGCUCGCUGUGCUGGGGCUGAGCCCCCCCCACGCAUCGUCCUGCGCCAGACUAAACAGCGGCGGGGACGGGAUGGGACUGGGAUGGGACUGGGAUGGGGACGGGGAUGGGGAUGGGGAUGGGGAUGGAAUGGGGAUGGGGAUGGGGGGGUGAUAAUAGGGAUGGAGAACCUGGGCAUGGCCACAGGAGGCGGUGGGGCAGGGUGGGCAGAAAGGGGNNNNNNNNNNNNNNNNNNNNNNNNNNNNNNNNNNNNNNNNNNCCCCCCUUCCCCAGCUCUGAUCUUCCCCCACGCCCACCUCUCUCCAGGCACCUUCCUCUUUGAUCUCCGCUCUGCUUUUUUAUUCCCCCCCCAGCUCCAUCCCUCCCCCCGCCUCUCCCAUUCUCUCCUUUCCCUUUAUCUCCCUCCCUCCCCCUGUCCCUGCUCCCGCUCCUCUCCCAAAACGCUGCCACGGGGGGGCCAUGGGGCAGGGACAUCCGAGUGUCCCCAACCACCCCCUCCAUGCCCAGGGCCCCGUAGCCGGCUGGGGGCACCCUGGGGUGGGGGUUUGGGAUGCCCACGCGGGUGGGAUGUGAACGGGGGACACCAGCAGUGACCGUCCCUGAGUCACCGCGGGUCCCGGUGGGCUCUGCGAGGGGCUGCAGGGCUGGGUGCCCCUUCCUCAGCACCCUGGGUGCCCCUUCCUCAGCACCCUGGGGUGCCCAGUCCAUGGGUCCUGGGGUAGCGGGUCCUGGGGUGCCCCCAUCCUGGGGAUUUGGGGAUGCCCAAAGCCGCGUGCGGGCUGGGGGGGUCUCUCCAAGUGCCUGGGGGCGAUGCUUUGGGGUUGGUUCCUGGUGCUGGGUGCAGACAGGGGGUGCUGGGGGCUCCCCAGCAGCGGUUGGGGGGAUUUGGGGAGCUGCUGGGGGCUUUGGCUGCAGGAUCAAAGGCAGAGGGGGCUCAGAGCACCCGGCUCUUGGGGACAGAGCACACGCUGGGGACACAGAGCGCACGGUGCCGUGCCGUGCCGUGCCAAACUGUGCCAUGCCAAACUGUGCCGUGUUGUUCUGUGCCAUAACGUGCUGUGCCGUGCCGAAUUGUGCCGUGCCAAACUGUGCCGUGCCGUGCCAAAUUGUGCUGUGCCAAAUUGUGCCGUGCCAAAUUGUGCCGUGCCGAGCUGUGCCGAGCCGUGCCAGGCCUCGCCGGGCCACGCAGGCGGAGGCAGGGCUGGGGACUUAGCGGCGGCUUCGUUAUCUGCAGCUCGCUCAUCCCCAGAAGGGAUUUCUGCCUCCCCCUCUCCCGCUCCACAGCGGAAAUCAUUUGAAUAUUUUAGCAAGAGGCUUUCAAAGGGGGGGGGAGGCGAGCACGGGGGAGGGAGAGGCAGCUCCCCUCUGCCACCCCAGGGGGACCCAAAACGCCCCUCACCCCACUGUCCCCGUGCUCCCCAAGCGGGUUGGGACCCCGGUGUGCCCAGUUCCCCCCCCCGCACACGCAUGUGACACCACCACACGCGUGUGACACGCACCCCGCGCUCCCCCCGCUGCCCUCCCGGUCGAUGCCUGCUCACCGCGUGACGGCCGCGGCACCACGGGGACACAGCCUGGGGGGCUGGGGACGGCGCUGGGGACCCCGGUGCUGGCGGUGCCGG
rnacentral:lncRNA from 1 species